rnacentral:rRNA from 1 species
AUUGAACGCUGGCGGCAUGCCUUACACAUGCAAGUCGAACGGUAACAGGUUAAGCUGACGAGUGGCGAACGGGUGAGUAAUAUAUCGGAACGUGCCCAGUCGUGGGGGAUAACGUAGCGAAAGCUACGCUAAUACCGCAUACGAUCUACGGCUGAAAGCGGGGGCUCGGAAGACCUGGAGCGAUUGUAGAGGCCGAGAGCAGAUUAGGUUGUUGGUGAGGUAAAAGCUCACCAAGCCUGCGAACUGUAGCUGGUCUGAGAGGACGACCAGCCACACUGGAACUGAGACACGGUCCAGACUCCUACGGGAGGCAGCAGUGGGGAAUUUUGGACAAUGGACGCAAGUCUGAUCCAGCAAUGCCGCGUGCAGGACGAAGGCCUUCGGGUUGUAAACUGCUUUUGUACGGAACGAAACGGUGAGCUCUAAUACAGUUUGCUAAUGACGGUACCGUAAGAAUAAGCACCGGCUAACUACGUGCCAGCAGCCGCAGUAA